UCUUUCUCUCUCUCUCCUCUCCUCUUCUCUCUCUCUCUCUCUCUCUCUCUCUCUCUCUCUCUCGCUUCGUGGACCUGAGAAAGAAAUUUAUUUUCUAUAAACCACUGAACUGGGGCAGUGCCGGAAAUUCUCCUCACCCGGUACUCUGCAGCUUCCAAGGUGCUUCCAACCCCAUUCGCGCCGCAAGGAUCCCACAAGAUCGGGGAAACCGAGGCUUGGGAAGGGUCGGGUGCCCUCCAAGGCAGGCUGCUUGGAAGAAACGGAGCCGGCCUGAACCCCGCGUUUGCAGGUUUCAAAUAACGGCGCGUUUUAAGAGGCCUUUCUGACCUCUCAGAAUUAUUAGUUCGAGCCCCUGGUCCAUCCUGCUCGGAAAUUCGGCCUCUGAUCGAGGAAGCCCUGUGGGGAAGAGGGCUGGUGAUUUAUUCCCUUGUCUUCCUCCUCACCGUCACUACUCCACUCUCUUUCCCCUUCUCCUCGUCUGAGUUUGCUACCAUUUCUUGGUCAAAGCCCCACAGCAUAGAUGCAGGGAGAUGAAAACUCACAAUUUCUCACUCCAGAGCCUGCGUCUGCAUUCACACUGCACCAGGGUUCUGGAACCUUAAGGAGCUCACAAUCACCUGCGGGCUUUGUUAAAACCGGAAUUCUGCGUCCCGCCCCCGGAUACCUCAUUCAAUUGGUCUCAGCUGGGCCUGAGAAUGCGCGUUUCUAACCGGUUCCCGGGGUACGUUUUGGGAAGGACUGCUCUGUGUGUUGCGUGGAAGCCCUCUAGGUUCCUUUGUUCAUAACAAAAACCCUCUUUAGAGGAAAGGGCGUCGUUCUUCUCUGUGUCCCCAGCGUUUACACAAGGCUUGCACACCAGUGCCUAAUAAAUAUUUGGGCUUCAUCAUGAACGCUUAGAGCUGUCACCGUGGUUUACAGAUGUUUAGCGUGUGCCUGGCAUUUUUCUGGGCACAUUAGGAGUAUCUGUUUAAUGCUAGUGACAAUGGUGGGAGUUAAGACCCUUAUUUUGACAUGGAUGGUUCAGAAUGGGGAUGCUAGGAACCGGGAGAGGAGAGCCGGGGAAAUCAUGCCUGUACCCCAAGGGACAGCUGAGUCCCGCUCCACCAACCUGGGACAAACCAGCUUAAACGCACUGUUCAGGAAGACCCACCUCUCUUGGCUGGUAAUGGCUGGGAAAGGGCGGAAUCACCUUCGUAGAAGACCUGCACCUCCAGAGUCCCUGUACCAUGGAAUGUGUGCCCUCAUACCCUUAAACGUUCACCUUGCAGUGCUUUUCCUUGCCGGUCCUUGGCGGGCAAACGGAGAGACCCAGCACUAAGCUUUCUAUGUGGGAAUCACCCCUCAACCUUUCUGAAGGAUCCAGAACCUCCCUCCUGGGCUGGGGGGCCUCGGAUUCUGGAGAAUUCCACAACUUAGAGUCAAGAGGGAUGGCCUAUCCAAACAGUGGAGGUGACGUGGAGGAUCUUAGCAUUCCAUGCACAAUCCUAGCCUCACCUGGGAGAACUGCCACUCAGGGAUCCUCCACGGGGCUCUGGAGUUCAGAGGUUCAAGGUUAAAGUGAAAAGAAAGCUGAGCAUGGAGACUAAAGGAGACUUCAAGUCCCACUUGACAGUUCCUGGCUAAGUGAUCCUAAACAAGCCUCUUAACCUCUCUGAGACUCAGUUUGCUCAUCUAUGCAAUGGGAAUUUGUAAAAAUAAAAAUAAAAUAAAAAAGCCUCCUCUGUCA